rnacentral:rRNA from 1 species
AAUCAACGCUGGCAGCGUGCCUCAGACAUGCAAGUCGAACGAUUAAAGCUCUCUUCGGAGAGUGCAUAGAGUGGCGCACGGGUGAGUAACACGUAAGUAAUCUACCCUCGAGUGGGGAAUAACGUCCGGAAACGGACGCUAAUACCGCAUAAUGCAGCGGCACCGCAAGGUGACAGUUGUUAAAGAUUUAUCGCUUGAGGAGGAGCUUGCGGCAGAUUAGCUAGUUGGUAAGGUAAUGGCUUACCAAGGCUACGAUCUGUAACCGGUCUUAGAGGACGGUCGGUCACACUGACACUGAAUAACGGGUCAGACUCCUACGGGAGGCAGCAGUCGGGAAUUUUGGGCAAUGGGCGAAAGCCUGACCCAGCAACGCCGCGUGAAGGAUGAAGUAUUUCGGUAUGUAAACUUCGAAAGAAUGGGAAGAAUCAAUGACGGUACCAUUUAUUAGGUCCGGCUAACUACGUGCCAGCAGCCGCAGUAAC